AGCGAACGCUGGCGGCAGGCCUAACACAUGCAAGUCGAACGGAUCCUUCGGGAUUUGUGGCGGAUGGGUGAGUAACACGUGGGAACGUGCCCUUUGGUUCGGAACAACUCAGGGACACUUGUGCUAAUACCGGACGUGCCCUUCGGGGGAAAGAUUUAUCGACCUUGGAGCGGCACGCGUCGGAUUAGCUAGUUGGUGAGGUUACGGCCCACCAAGGCGACGAUCAGUAGCUGGUUUGAGAGGAUGAUCAGCCACACUGGGACUGAGACACGGCCUAGACUCCUACGGGAGGCAGCAGUGGGGAAUCUUGCGCAAUGGGCGAAAGCCUGACGCAGCCAUGCCGCGUGAAUGAUGAAGGUCUUAGGAUUGUAAAAUUCUUUCAGCGGGGACGAUAAUGACGGUACCCGCAGAAGAAGCUCCGGCUAACUUCGUG
rnacentral:rRNA from 1 species